rnacentral:tRNA from 1 species
GGGCGCCUAUCGGCCUAGGCCGAUGGUUAGAGUAUCUCGUUUACACCGAGAGGGUCAGGGGUUCGAAUCCCUUGGCGCCCACCA